UAGGGAAUCUUCCGCAAUGGGCGAAAGCCUGACGGAGCAACGCCGCGUGAGUGAUGAAGGUCUUCGGAUCGUAAAACUCUGUUAUUAGGGAAGAACAUAUGUGUAAGUAACUGUGCACAUCUUGACGGUACCUAAUCAGAAAGCCACGGCUAACUACGUGCCAGCAGCCGCGGUAAUACGUAGGUGGCAAGCGUUAUCCGGAAUUAUUGGGCGUAAAGCGCGCGUAGGCGGUUUUUUAAGUCUGAUGUGAAAGCCCACGGCUCAACCGUGGAGGGUCAUUGGAAACUGGAAAACUUGAGUGCAGAAGAGGAAAGUGGAAUUCCAUGUGUAGCGGUGAAAUGCGCAGAGAUAUGGAGGAACACCAGUGGCGAAGGCGACUUUCUGGUCUGUAACUGACGCUGAUGUGCGGAAGCGUGGGGAUCAAACAGGAUUAGAUACCCUGGUAGUCCACGCCGUAAACGAUGAGUGCUAAGUGUUAGGGGGUUUCCGCCCCUUAGUGCUGCAGCUAACGCAUUAAGCACUCCGCCUGGGGAGUACGACCGCAAGGUUG
rnacentral:rRNA from 1 species